rnacentral:rRNA from 1 species
AUUGAACGCUGGCGGAAUGCUUUACACAUGCAAGUCGAACGGCAGCACGGGGCAACCCUGGUGGCGAGUGGCGAACGGGUGAGUAAUACAUCGGAACGUGCCCAGUCGUGGGGGAUAACUGCUCGAAAGAGCAGCUAAUACCGCAUACGAACUCUGGUUGAAAGCGGGGAUCGCAAGACCUCGCGCGAUUGGAGCGGCCGAUGGCAGAUUAGGUAGUUGGUGGGGUAAAGGCUCACCAAGCCAACGAUCUGUAGCUGGUCUGAGAGGACGACCAGCCACACUGGGACUGAGACACGGCCCAGACUCCUACGGGAGGCAGCAGUGGGGAAUUUUGGACAAUGGGCGCAAGCCUGAUCCAGCCAUUCCGCGUGCAGGAUGAAGGCCCUCGGGUUGUAAACUGCUUUUUGUACGGAACGAAACGCGCUGUGCUAAUACCACGGCGUAAUGACGGUACCGUAAGAAUAAGCACCGGCUAACUACGUGCCAGCAGCCGCGGUAAUACGUAGGGUGCAAGCGUUAAUCGGAAUUACUGGGCGUAAAGCGUGCGCAGGCGGUGAUGUAAGACAGAUGUGAAAUCCCCGGCUCAACCUGGGAACUGCAUUUGUGACUGCAUCGCUGGAGUGCGGCAGAGGGGGAUGGAAUUCCGCGUGUAGCAGUGAAAUGCGUAGAUAUGCGGAGGAACACCGAUGGCGAAGGCAAUCCCCUGGG